rnacentral:rRNA from 1 species
AGUCAGUAGGAGUAGACCCGAAACCGGGUGAUCUAUCCAUGUCCAGGUUGAAGCUGCCGUAAGAGGUAGUGGAGGACCGAACCCACAUCCGUUGAAAAGGGUGGGGAUGAGGUGUGGAUAGGGGAGAAAUUCCAAUCGAACCCGGAGAUAGCUGGUUCUCCUCGAAAUAGCUUUAGGGCUAGCCUCGAUACAGAUUUGCGGAGGUAGAGCACUGAAUUUCCUAGGGGGCGUCAAAGCCUACCGAAGAAUAUCAAACUCCGAAUGCCGCGUAAUCGAUUAUCGGGAGUCAGACUGCACGAGAUAAGUUGGGCGGUCAAAAGGGAAAGAGCCCAGACCUUCAGUUAAGGUCCCCAAGUGCGCGUUAAGUGGAAAAGGAUGUGGGAUUUCGAAGACAACCAGGAUGUUGGCUCAGAAGCAGCCAUCCAUUCAAAGAGUGCGUAAUAGCUCACUGGUCGAGAGGUCCUGCGCCGAAAAUGUCCGGGGCUGAAACGCGCCACCGAAACUAAGGAACCGAAAGGUUGGUAGAGGAGCAUUGCAUGCGGGAAGAAGCAGUACCGUAAGGAGCUGUGGACUGCAUGGAAGAGAGAAUGCCGGAAUGAGUAGCGAGAAUAAGGUGGGAAUCCUUAUGGCCGAAUAUCCAAGGUUUCCAGAGUAAAGCUGAUCUGCUCUGGGUAAGUCGGGGCCUAAGGCGAGGACGAGAGUCGUAGCCGAUGGACAACAGGUGGAGAUUCCUGUACUGCGGUAUGACAGAACUGUGGGGACACGUAAGGAAAGCGGAAGCCGGGAAUGGAAAGCCCGGUGCAAGCGGGGUACCAGUCACUUUGGCAAAUCCGGGUGGCAAUGGGAAGCCGUGAUGCGGAGUGAAAUAAAGUAACGAAGUCCGUGAGCCAUGCGUCAAGAAAAGCCGCUAUUGUUUAUACCGUACCCGUACCGUAAACCGACACAGGUGGAUGAGGAGAGAAUCCUAAGGCCGGCGGAAGAAGCAUUGUCAAGGAACUCGGCAAAAUGGCCCCGUAACUUAGGGAUAAGGGGUGCCUGGGAAACCAGGCCGCAGAGAAUAGGCUCAAGCAACUGUUUAGCAAAAACACAGGUCUAUGCGAAACCGAAAGGUGAGGUAUAUGGGCUGACGCCUGCCCGGUGCUGGAAGGUUAAGAGGAGAGGUUAGCGGUAACGCGAAGCUUUGAAUUUAAGCCCCAGUAAACGGCGGCCGUAACUAUAACGGUCCUA